UGGGGAAUAUUGCACAAUGGGCGAAAGCCUGAUGCAGCAACGCCGCGUGAGGGACGACGGCCUUCGGGUUGUAAACCUCUUUUAGCAAGGAAGAAGCGAAAGUGACGGUACUUGCAGAAAAAGCGCCGGCUAACUACGUGCCAGCAGCCGCGGUAAUACGUAGGGCGCAAGCGUUAUCCGGAAUUAUUGGGCGUAAAGAGCUCGUAGGCGGUUUGUCGCGUCUGCUGUGAAAACCCGAGGCUCAACCUCGGGCCUGCAGUGGGUACGGGCAGACUAGAGUGCGGUAGGGGAGAUUGGAACUCCUGGUGUAGCGGUGGAAUGCGCAGAUAUCAGGAAGAACACCGACGGCGAAGGCAGAUCUCUGGGCCGUAACUGACGCUGAGGAGCGAAAGGGUGGGGAGCAAACAGGCUUAGAUACCCUGGUAGUCCACCCCGUAAACGUUGGGAACUAGUUGUGGGGUCCAUUCCACGGAUUCCGUGACGCAGCUAACGCAUU
rnacentral:rRNA from 1 species